GAUGAACGCUGGCGGCGUGCCUAACACAUGCAAGUCGAGCGAUUCUCUUCGGAGAAGAGCGGCGGACGGGUGAGUAACGCGUGGGUAGCCUGCCCUGUACACACGGAUAACAUACCGAAAGGUAUGCUAAUACGAGCUAAUAUACAUUUAUCGUAUGGUAGAAGAAUCAAAGCUCCGGCGGUACAGGAUGGACCCGCGUCUGAUUAGCUAGUUGGUGAGGUAACGGCUUACCAAGGCGACGAUCAGUAGCCGACCUGAGAGGGUGAUCGGCCACAUUGGAACUGAGACACGGUCCAAACUCCUACGGGAGGCAGCAGUGGGGAAUAUUGCACAAUGGGCGAAAGCCUGAUGCAGCAACGCCGCGUGAGCGAUGAAGGCCUUCGGGUCGUAAAGCUCUGUCCUCAAGGAAGAUAAUGACGGUACUUGAGGAGGAAGCCCCGGCUAACUACGUGCCAGCCGCCGCAGUAA
rnacentral:rRNA from 1 species